GAGCCCGUGGCUUAAUGGUAGAGUGUUUGACUCAAACACAAAAAGUCGCGGGUUCGAAUCCCAGGUGUG
rnacentral:tRNA from 1 species